CCUACGGGCGGCAGCAGUGAGGAAUAUUGGUCAAUGGGCUUACGCCUGAACCAGCCAAGUCGCGUGAGGGAAGACUGCCCUAUGGGUUGUAAACCUCUUUUGUCAGGGAGCAACGCCGGCUACGUGUAGCCGGCCUGAUAGUACCUGCAGAAAAAGCAUCGGCUAACUCCGUGCCAGCAGCCGCGGUAAUACGGAGGAUGCGAGCGUUAUCCGGUUUUAUUGGGUUUAAAGGGUGCGUAGGCGGGCAUUUAAGCCGGCGGUCAAAUGUCGGGGCUCAACCCCGGCCUGCCGUCGGAACUGGGGGCCUUGAGUGGGCGAGAAGUAGGCGGAAUGCGUGGUGUAGCGGUGAAAUGCAUAGAUAUCACGCAGAACCCCGAUUGCGAAGGCAGCAUACCGGCGCCCUACUGACGCUGAGGCACGAAAGUGCGGGUAUCGAACAGGAUUAGAUACCCUAGUAGUC
rnacentral:rRNA from 1 species